rnacentral:lncRNA from 1 species
GUUCUGAAUGGGUUUUGGUUCCAGUGUGUGCCUUCAGAACGGCCUGCCCCCGGUGCCACCGCUCAGGGCGGCCUCGGCGUGUGCACAUUCACAUAGCCAAGGGUAUGAUCAGACGCAUUAGGAGAGCCUGUUUGGUUUCUGGGGGUGACAUUGCACAGCGUGCCAGCUACAGGAGGAGCAGCAGGCCUGGCUCCUGCCCAGGAGGCACCUGGCCUAGAUCUCAGCGUCACUGCGGAGUUAACCAAGGGAAGCGGCACCAGCAUCACACCCUGUUCCAGCCAACAGUCUCCAGCGUCCCUGACAGAUGUCGGGAAGUUCUUUUCCCCGUAAGAUCCCGGAGAAUGUCCUGAGGCUGCCGUGUGGAAGCUCUGGGGCCUUUCUCGUCUCCCACUGCCAGCUUAAUGAGCUGUGCUGGUAGCAACAGAUGGCGCCCCGCAGGGUCUCACUUGGAUAGCUUGGAAAGUUCCUGGACACCAGUUGGACUUGCCGCGAAAACCAUUAAUCUGGCCUUUCAGAGAAAAUCUUCAGAAGAAUGUAUUUGCAAGGUGAAUUAUGAGGAUUUAGGAUUUGCCCUCAAAUUUCUCUUUCAGGCUGCUCUUCAAAUAAAUAUUUCCCCAUCCAAAAGAGACCACAGUUAUUUUAGAUGUUUGUCUCUUAACAUCUGAAUGCACUGCUUUUUCUUAGCUUUACAAGAACCUGUCCUCACAAUAAUCCACUCUACAGCUGAAAAGUCUUCUUACUCCUGCAAAUCUGAACCCAGUAAUGACUAACAUUGCACCCAAUAAGAAGUGAGGAUAAUUUCAGAACACUUGGCUUUGCUUUAAAGGGCAAGAUUUUGGAAGCAGGUUCACAGGACUCCAUCCAGAUCUGUCUUCCUGGCACACAGCUCAGGGGACCAUGCCCAAGCUCCAGGUGACAGCAGAGGGCAGGAGAGGGGACGCUUGCUUCCCACAUGUCUGGCCCUAGGGUAGGGAGCUCGUUAGGACUCCAGGUGCCAGAAUCCCACAGCACAGUGGCCUCUGGAUGCCCCUUCGUGUCCUGGAAAGGAGAGGCGGCUCCUCUCCAACUCAGGGUGGGGCUGGGAGAGGUCUUGACAGCAGGCAGGCCUUGGAGGCCACCGCAGCUCCCCAAAUGUCCCUGUGCCUCUGCACUCGCUGGGCCUGCUAGCUGUUCUGGGUCUCAAGGGUAUAUAUACAAUUCUGAACAUGUAACUAAGAACAUGUAACUCCACUAGGCUCAUAUCUCACCCUACACCAGCGUUCAUGAUGUGGGAUUUCUGAGCUGACUGCACGUGAGACCCGGCCAGGUCUUGACUCACUGCCUGAAUUUUCCACGUCUUUCUGGAGAUAAAGCCUUUCUCUGGCUUGGUGAAUGCUGUCUGAUUCUUCAUCUUUUUCCAUUUGGCAUUUUGCUUUGAAACUCAGAGUGUUGUAAAAGUAGUUGUACCUGCAUUUAUGUUAGAGAUUCUAAAAAAUACAACUCUGAGCUGGGUGCUGUGGCUCAUGUCUGUAAUCCUAGCACUCUGGGAGGCCAAGGCGGGAGGAUCACUUGAGCCCAGGAGUUCAAGACCAGCCUGGGCAACAAAGCAAGACCUCGUCUCCAUAAAAAGUAAAAAAAAUGGCUAGGUGUGGUGGCUCAUGCCUGUAACCCCAGUACUCUGGGAGGCCAAGGUGGGUGGAUCACCUGAGGUCGGGAGUUCAAGACCAGCCUGACCAACAUGGAGAAACCCUGUCUCUACUAAAAAUACAAAAUUAGCUGGGCAUGGUGGCGCAUGUCUGUAAUCCCAGCUACUCGGGAGGCUGAGGCAGGAUAAUUGCUUGAGUCCGGGAGGCGGAGGUUGCCGUAAGCCGAGAUCGCGCCAUUGCACUUCAGCCUGGGCAACAAGAGUGAAACUCUGUCUCAAAACAACAACAACAACAAAACAAAACAAAAACAAAACAAGUAAAAAAUUAGCCAGGCAUAGUGGCGUGUGCCUGUAGUCACAGCUACUUGGGAGGCCGGGGUCAGAGGAUCACUUGAGCCCAGGAGUUUGAGGUUGCAGUGACCUAUGAUUGCACCAGUACACUUCAGCCUGGGCAACACAGUAAGACCCCAUCUCUAUAAUCAAUCAAUCAGUCAAUCAAUAAAAUACAACUCUGAUUUUGUAAAGAAAAAAAGAUGUUUUGGGAGGACAACCUUAAGACAAAGAAAACAAAGUUUUCUAGUCCCAUCUCCUCAUUACCUGCUGCUGUCAUGUGCUAGGAAUAAUAAUGCAAUAAUUAAUUGAGUUGCCACAGCGGCAGGGACUGUCCUAAAGGCUGGAUGUAUGUUUUAUCAUUGAGUUCUCACAGCAAUCCCAGCAGGCAGGAUCUGUUUCUCCCCAUUGUACAGAUGAGGAAACUGAGGCACAGAAAUGCUUUACUUGGCCAAAGGUAGACAGCAAAUAAAUGGGGCCCAGAUGCAAAUGCAAACAUUUUGACUCCAAAACACUUGCCCAUAAACCGCAUGCGCCACUGCAUGGAGAGAUAUAACAAGGACCACCACAAGUCACUCAUCCAGAAGCAGUUUCAUGGACUAUACAAACUUAAUUUAAACGUGUGAAUUCCUUCUAACAGGAUGAAGAGCAAUCUGAUGCCUUCUCAGUUACAAAUCUGUUUGUAGAGGGCAUUGAUAGUUCCUAUAUUUUAAAUAGUUGUUUUGGAGGUUCUAGAUGGCAGAUUACAUACAAAGAAAAAUGCUUUUUUGAUGACAUGGAUUAUCAUUACAUAGAUUUGCAGUGAGUCGAGCCAUGUUCCCCAGCUAUAUAUUUUUUUUUCAGUAAAAGUCUGGUAUAACACAGGAAGUUAUACCAGAUUCUACUUCUGUAGCCUAUUAGGCAGAUGUUGCGAAGGAAUUUCACUGUGUUUGAUGCUUCAAUUUCGUACAGAAUCUCAGGUCUGACAUGGAAGAAGUUUUGAUGACUUACUGCCAACUUUGUAUCACCCCCAAAAUGCUUUAGAGAAAUAUCUCUCUACAGAGGAAAGCAAGGAACUGUGACUUUAACUAGUGAAUUGGAUCAACGUGUCCAGCUAAUUCAGGUACCAAAUCCUAUUUUUCUGUAACAGCAGAAAACUGUCACGACUGCCACUGAGCUCAACUUUUCCUGAACAGACUCAGCUAAAAUCCUUGCCAUGUCUCAGUUCUCAUUUCACUAUGCUAAUUAGGGAGCCCAGAGGGUGAGUCUACACAUGUAAAAUGGAUGGAUCUUAACACAUCGAUGCUUUGUUUUUAGCCAGAUUGCUGCACAACUGAUUCCACUUCUGCAGCAACUGCCAUCCAUCACCAGGACUGCUCUGCCUGGGGACAGCCAGGCCACAGCCCUGCUGACGUCUGCAUGGGUCUUGGACGUGGUCUAGGGCCAGAACGCAGUGAUGAAGCUGGUGGUUUGUAGAGGCUUUUACUACAAGUAACAUCCCUCAUUUGAUGAAAUAGAUAUCUUUCUGCCAACUUGGCUCUGUCACUGAAACCUGGUGUUUUUGUCUGGUAAUUCUUCAAAUUUGAUGUUUUAAAGAAUGUUAAGUGAAUUAAUUCCUCCUUUUUGUCAGUGCUAUAAGUUCCAUACAGAGUUUGCUCAGUCUGAAGUACAUCUGUAUUAAUUAGACAAACUAAAGCAUUGGGUGGAUCUAAACGGUUCCUUUUAAUGAUUUUUCUCCACGAUGACAAGGCACACUAUACAAACAACCACCUGAUUUUAGCAAGAGGGCUAAAAAUUAUAUUGCAUAAAUGGAGUUGCAUUAUUUAAACUUAAAUUCAGGCCAGGUGCGGUGGCUCACGCCUGUAAUCCUAGCACUUUGGGAGGCAGAGGCAGGCGGAUCCUUGAGAUCAGAAGUUCGAGACCAGCCUGGACAACAUGGUGAAACCCUGUCUCUACUAAAAAUACAAAAAUUACCCGGAAAUCGCUUGAACCGGGGAGGCGGAGGUUGCAGUGAGCUGAGAUCGUGCCACUGCACUCCAGCCUGGGCAACAGAGCGAGACUCUGUCUCAACAGAAACAAACAAACAAAAACAACAACAACAAAAAACAAAAAAACCCUGAAAUUCAAACUUUUGCCAUUAAAAACAUCCUCAAUUCGAUAAAUUACAACUUGUAUUUUGAAAUAUUGGUGGAAUGACCUUACCUGCUCUAUUUCAACCUUAAACAGCUGAAUUAAAAGCCUAAUUCCUACCAAAAGUCUUUAAAAUGAGAAAUUAACUGUGAUGAUACUUUCCCCUGAUUAAAUAAGAAGCAAGAGCUGGGGCUUUGCCUGAGAGGACAUCAUUUCAGAAGUCAAUUUGGUUUUGACUUCGUUAAAGCAAUAAAAUGUGGGUGGUUAAUCUGAGUGAAAGCUGCCAUGUUCUAAAAAUGCGUGAAGACUUAACUGGAUGGGUGGUUGCACCGCAGAAGCUAUUUAGGAUUGGAAAGUAGCUGUGAUUUGGAUUUUAAUGAAUUGCACACUGUUGACGAAUUCUUCAGCAGUUAGCCUGGAUCCUUUCCACUCAACUUAGACCUUUCUGCCUAGUUACUCCAACUUAAACCUCAGUUCCUGGAGGAAUCAAGUUUGUCUUAUAGCUGUUGUCUUUGAUGGAGAUGAGCCCGAGAGACAUUAAAGUUUCAGUGAAUUUUAUCCCCUUUCUGGAUACUAUUAAAUCACUCCUGCCCCAGGCAGAAGACUGGUCUUUACUCUAAGGCAGCUAAAGAGUGACUAUUUUUCCAAAUUGCACAAAAGGGAGAAUUUAUCAAGCACCUUUUCUCUCAGAGAGGACAAACCCAGAACAGGAAAACUUUAUUACUUUCUCUCUUGGCUAUAAAUUAUGCUAUUCAGAUGUAUUUGAAAGCUUCUCUUUAUGCUCUUGCUUGAGCCAUAAAACUUGAUACCUGGGGCCAAAUGCCUUUAUCCCCAAGAAGGGUGAAGAAGAUGAAAAGGCAGCAGCUCUAGGCGGAAGCCACACAAAUGACUGGGCAGAAAAUGCGGGCGGUGGAGAAAGUUACAUUGCACGAUUCAUGCCUCUUUGACCUUAUAUUCUACUCUGAAAUUAAUGUUACUGUUUGCAUAGGAUCACUGGCCUUUCGAAACCUGAAUUAGCCAUUCAGAAAACACUAGGUUUAACCAAUACCAUCAAUUUGAUUGUUGUUGUUAUACUUAUUUAUUUUUGAGGCGGGGUCUUGCUCUGUUGCCCAGGCUGAAGUGCAGUGGUGCCAUCUUGGCUUACUGCAACCUCCACCUCCCGGGUUCAAGCGAUUCUCCUGCCUCAGCCUCCCGAGUAGCUGGGAUUACAGGAUUAUACCUGUUUAAUUUUUGUAUUUUUAGUAGAGACAGGAUUUCACCACGCUGGCCAGGCUGGUCUUGGACUCCUGACCUCAAGUGAUCCGCCGGCCUCAGCCUCUCAAAGUGCUGGGAUUACAGGCGUGAGCCACCGUGCUCGGCCUGUUGUUGUUAUUUUUAAUACCGGGAUUUUAGAUCUGAUGAAUUUCAAUAAGCCAGCCACUCACCUGGAGAGGGUUCGCUGGGGUCCACUUUCUCUGCUUUCCUUACAGUCAUGGUACUUUUAUGUUUCUGCUUGACUGAUGUUUGGUCAAUUGCUGGAAGUUUGGAGUCACACUUAAAUGCAGAUAUCUUGAUAGAUGACCUUGGUUCAGUUAGAGCAUCCUCCUCACUAGAACUCUACCAAAAAUGAAAUACGUCUGAGUCUCAGUGGCCAAGUAGGUCAACUUUGUUAGGCAGAGAAAACAGAAAUGAGGCAAAUGCAGUGACCCUCUCCAGCAAUAAUCCUAGAGUCUUCUGCCAGGUCAACACGCCCGUUCACCAGAGAGAUUCAGAUGGACUGGGCAGAGCAACUUAGAAAUAAUGGCAGAGUUAGUGAGUCUGUUUUGUAGAACAUUAUGAAAGAAUGCAUUUUUCUGUGAGUGUGUUUUGUAGAACGUUAUGAAAAGAAUGCAUUUCUGACCCUUAAGUAAUUUGAUGACAGAUAAAUAGCGCAUGUGCUUUUAAACUUCUUAUUGUUUGUUAUUUGAACUACUUUGGAGAUAGGCUAGAAGAAAAAAUGUUCCUUAUGUUAAUCAUACAUUUGACAAUGAAAAGGAAAUGUAGAUAGUGUGACGGAGGCAGAUUAAAUCAGACCUCAGUUUCAAUACUCUGCGUUACUGGGUGCAACACGAGACAGACUAAUCUUUUAAAAAGUCCCCUCCUUGUCACUCUUCUAUAAAGAAGUCAGUAUAAAUCUAUGCAUGGACAAAUCAUGAUUCCUGCUGUGUCAGAAUAUCUCAACACAGCCAUGCCGACGCAAUAAAAAUUAUCCAGGCAUGGAACAGCUUUAUACUUGGCCACACUUACACCCACCAAAGAAAGGAUGAAAACAAUAUAAAUAUCAGAAACCUGGUCUUAAAGGUGAUUUAAGUACAGCCUGAUGGCUUUAGGUCCUGGUGUUGGUAUGACUUGCUAGGCUAUCCAUUCUGCAACAAAUAAAUCACUAGGUUCCCCCUUCCCCGACCCUGGGGGGUCGUUGCGGUGGGGGUGGAGGGGGGCACUAAGCUCUCUCCUCCAUUGCACAUUAGUCCAGUGUUGGAAAGUCCUGUGAAAAUGUGGUCUUUUGCAGGCAUAGAAUGCUAAAUUAACAUCCCUGGUACCUCCCCAACUGUUGCAAUUUGUAUUGAUCUUGCUCACCGUUCUCCCUGUCAGUUGUGGCAUUUUCAUUUCACAGGCUCCUGACUCAGGAAAAUACUCUGAGUAGCUUUGAAUUAUUGGGUGUGAUGUAAGACAAACUAAAUUCUAAAAAAGUCCUCUACUUGUCAGUCUUCUGUAAAGAAGUCUACAUAAAUCUACAGGUGGACACAUCAUUAUGCUCCAAGAUGAUGAAUCAUAUUUUAAAUUUAGAGUUUGGAUACAGCCUUCAAACAAAUAAUUCUUGUUUCUCCGCACAAUUUCAGAAAACAGACCACCCUCAGAUAAAAGAACCAGAAAAGCACAAGACACAACAAACUGACUGUUCUCCCCUUUCCUUUUCGAUUUUGCUAUUUAAUUGAAAUCCUUGCAAAUAACUCUGAAAUGUCAAAGAUGAAACAUUAGGUCAUUUCUUUUUUCUUUUUUUCUUUUUUUUGAGACAAAGUUUCACUCUUAUUGCCCAGGCUGGAGUGAAAUGGUGCCACCUUGGCUCACUGCAACCUCCGCCUCUCGGGUUCAAGCAAUUCUCCUGCCUCAGCCUCCUGAGUAGCUGGGAUUACAGGCACCCACCAUCAUACCCGGCUAAUUUUUGUAUUUUUAGUAGAGACGGGGUUUCGUUAUGUUGGCCAGGCUGGUCUCGAACUCCUGACCUUAGGUGAUCAACCCAUCUCAGCCUCCCAAAGUUCUGGGAUUAUAGGCGUGAGCCACUGUGCCUGGCUAAAACAUUAGGUCAUUUCUGAACAUGAGAUAGGUUCUCUAUUCUCAGAAAAGAAAAUGCGGGCACAUUUUAAGUAUGACACCUAAGAAUGUCAUUGUAAUUGGGUCCUGGAAGUCACAGUCCUGGAACUGGGUCCCAAGAAGAGCAUCAAUGAAUAAGGGACAGAAUUUCUUCCAUAAACUGCCCAACAAAAUCAGCUCACUGCAGUGGGUUAAGUCAACUCCCACAGGGCCCUGCAAGUGAGCCCUUUAUUUCCAGCCAGCAGAAAGGCAGGAAAAAUGCUCCAGGCGAGGAUGACCAACACCUGUGUCAGCAGCAGUAGCAGCAGCAGCAGCAGCAGGUGUCCGCUCAGCUCAUCUUCGCGGAUCCAUUUCCAUUACCCCCAGCCAGGGCCGGAAUUCUUGGCUUGCCCCAGGCUGUGGUGAAUAGGGAGGAGACCUUUAUUGGUUGAGCUGUUAAGCCACGUUUAUCCUUCCUCCACCCAUUCAUUAAACCUCAAGCCUUUAGUGCACUGAAGAGGUGAAAGCUUGGCCAAUUAAAUCAUCCUGUUACCUACGGGAUUGUGAGCCUACAUUGUGAAUACAUCCUUCUCUGGUUCAAUCAACCUUAUUUCUAGGUAGUAAUCAUUAAGAGUCUAGAAAUUGCAGCUAGAAGUUGGUGUUUUAUCAGUUGUAAACCGAAGGUACAAUGGCAAGAAGUGUAAUACUUACAAAUGUGUUAAUGGACUUUUUUCCUGCUUGCCUCAUUGAGAAAUCUUAAAUAAAUCACGUCCACCUUUUGGUCUUUAUUCUGUCUUCUUACGUUCUCAGCCAUUCCCAUCUAUCCUCUUUCUUUCUUUUUUCUGGAGACAGAGUCUUGCUCUGUCACCCAGGCUGGAGUGCAAUAGCGCGAUCUCGGUUCACUGCAACCUCGACCUCCC